ACCGCAAAAAAGUAUGGUCUACCUGACAA
rnacentral:sRNA from 1 species